rnacentral:rRNA from 1 species
CUACGGGGGGCAGCAGUGGGGGAUAUUGCACAAUGGGGGAAACCCUGAUGCAGCAACGCCGCGUGAAGGAAGACGGUUUUCGGAUUGUAAACUUCUAUCAGCAGGGAAGAAAAUGACGGUACCUGACUAAGAAGCCCCGGCUAACUACGUGCCAGCAGCCGCGGUAAUACGUAGGGGGUAAGCGUUAUCCGGAAUUACUGGGUGUAAAGGGUACGUAGGCGGCUGAUCAAGUCAGAUGUGAAAGCCCGGAGCUCAACUCCGGGACUGCAUUUGAAACUGGUCGGCUAGAGUGCAGGAGAGGAAAGUGGAAGUCCUAGUGUAGCGGUGAAAUGCGUAGAUAUUAGGAAGAACACCAGUGGCGAAGGCGGUUUUCUGGACUGUAACUGACGCUGAGGUACGAAAGCGUGGGGAGCGAACAGGAUUAGAUACCCCAGUAGUC